GUUGCCCAUUGUUAAGUUGUUAUAAUAUGCAUUAAUAGUGAGUAAAGGACCACAGGAAUCUCUUAAAAGGUGACUGUGAAAACUUUUAAAACUUUGUUAGGGAUGAUCGACAAGUAGUUGGUUGUGGUAUGAUUUUAUAAAUGAUAUUUUUCCAAGGCUACUGUGCUCCUUUGCAUCUUGUUUUUUGAUGAUCGAAUCUGAAUAAGUAAAAAUAAAAUAUAAUGUACUAUGUAAAAAUGGACACACUUGUUUUUUAAUAGAGCUUACUGAAAUCUACGUGGAUUUUAGUUCCUUCAUGUAUCUUUAAUGAUGUAUGCUUCCUAUUGCCUCUUUAAUUUCCAGUCAUUUGAUCCUUCUGUUGGUAUCGGGAAUGAAUGAAAAAUAUUGCUAGACUGGCAUCAGAAACUCAAGUGUGAACAAAGGGAGUCUUAUUUGAAAAGUCUCAUCCAUGUUUUAUGUGCUUAUUUUGUGUUGUCAAAUGAUCCAUUUUUGUUUGUUUCCUUGCUGAUAAAGGAGGACAAUAGGUCUGGAGUUAAUGAGAUGUAAUGGACACCACUAUUCUCGAGUUUCAGUGAAAGGGCAUUAUAAUGUUUGUGCUACAGAUCAAGCCAGACUUCAAUGUGUUUCAAAAAGGCUACUUUGGAAGUGUUUUGGUUGUGCGGAAUGAUGAUGGGGACACCAGAUUUCUGUAAAAACAGGAAAUUAAUAUUUAGUUUUCCAGAGGCAAGCAAGACAUGCUUUAAUUACUUGAUAUCUUAAAUAGUUAAAUUGCAGUGACUGUCGAAGUAUGUGGUAAUGUCAGAGACCUGAUGUUUUAAGGUUUAACCUCUGCAUGUAUAUCCCUCCCAUACUAGGUAAAGACUAAGGCAAAUGAGGGCUUGGGUGGAGUCACGGCGUGGUUUGGGAAGGUAACAUAAAGCAGCUGACUAAGCUUGUUACUCUGCACUCUUGUGCUGUUAGCAAUGUGUUAUUUAUGGCCUUGGCUAAGUGCCUUUCCUAAUUAGAGCAGAAAGUUCAGGGGUAGGAGGGAAGCACUAGGUGAAGGUGGACAUCCAAAUUGCAUUCAUUGCCUUGGAAACAAUGAGGAGAAAGGAGGCAAUUCAUGUUCAACACGAAAAUGAUGAUGUAUGUUGACAUGCAUUGUCUUGAAGAGUUUUAACAGUAAUUGAUCUUCUAUUUACUAUAAAGAAGAAAUAACUUGAAGUUUCCAUAACACUGCACUAUGCUGUCAAAACUGUAGGGAGCAGGUGACUGGAGGAGCAUUUAAGAUCUGCUGGUUUUAUAAAGGGGAAUGAAAAGUAAUAAACAAGUACCUCUGCGUAAGUUGUUUCUCUGAGUUGUGUGUCUUUUAGUAAUAAAGAGAGCAUAGGAUGUUGGACUAAAAUGAGUGCGUAAGUUGGCUGGCUAAUAAUUUAUUGCUAAAGAAAAGUGGAAACAUCCUUUUUGCAUAUGGAUAAGAAAGUAUGGUCAUAUUUUAUGUGACUGAAUGGCUACAGAGCACAUUCUAGCUUGAGCUGUAAUGUCAAGAUUUUUUUACCUGUUGCCUUGGUGACACAUUGGGAUUUGUCCACAAAUACAUUGAUGCAAAUUGUUUCUCCCCAGAGCUCAGCCAAUUUAAAUUUUACCUCCAAGAGAAACUUCUCAGGGGAUGGGAGUUGUGUGGUGUUUUCUAGCCUCGUUUCUGAGGCUCUUGGUGGCAGCCAUGUGUGGCCUGGUACGGGAUCUGUUUGAUGUGACUUCAGAACUGUGUUACCUACCUGGAGCUGCUGGCUCCAGUUUGUGCCUGUCUUGGUUUUGGGGCUAGUUAGAGGGCAUGUGGUUAAAUACACAUCACCUGUGAUGCCACCUGUGUCCUUUUCAGAGCAGAAACCUUAAUUUCUUGAUGGUGUGCAGUGAGGGGAUCAGAAUGUUUUGAUAGCACUUAAUUCCAUCCUUACACCUUUGGGUUUGCUAUAACUUUUUUAACUUCCACUUGUGUUAACCACGUGGAAACAAGUCACUUAGAGAAUAGACCAGAUUUAAUUUCUUUUGUUUAAAAUCUUGAUACCUUCCUGUAGUUCCUCAGAUGAAUAGAGGAUCUGCAGCUGCAUUUGGGUUGCACAUGGGAGUACCUAACACUGUUUAGCAAUCAAUAUAAAUAAGACUAUUUCCUACCUUCAUCUAGAAAACCUGAGCUCUAAUCUGCCUCUCUUAUUUGAGUGGUGAGGUUUUGUACAGGGUGAUGGAGGUCAGUUUUUGAUGGGUAAGUGUGUGUGUGUGUGUGUUUUGGUUUUGGAGAUGUAGGAAUAAAUCUGUUGGUUCCAAGGAAUUAAACUGUUGGGAUGUACAUGUAAAGAUAGGUGAAGCCAGUGCCACUUAGUCUUACUCUGAUUUUUUUUAAAAUGUAGUUUUCAUCCUACUGAUUGUUCAUAGAGUGUUUUGAGAGUGGACUUAAUUUUUGAAAACUUUUUGAGAGAGGAUUUGAGAGAUAGUACAUUAAAUAAUCUGUAAGCAUUCAAAUCACUUCUUUUUAAGAGGGAAAUUUUUAACCUGAGCCAAACUUUAAAAAAAAAACAAAACAACAACAAAAAAACCAACACCCCCCCCCCCAAUAAAACACAAACCAAAAAAAGCCAAAACAAACAAACAAAACCCCCAGAAACCCUUGCACAAAAAUGUUCUGUAAUAUCUGCCAACAUAUAACAUCCACUUGUUGCUGCUGUUUCCCUCUUAUUGCUGAGUUUUUGUAGUCAGCAAUGCAGUCAGAAUGCAAACAUGUUUGUGAUUAGCUUUUUGGAAGCCAGGAGGUUAUUUGGUCAGGUUUACAUGAAGAGCAAGCUGAACAUGCUUUUUUUUCACAUCAUAUGUCUCCUUCCCCACAAGAUUGCUGUAGUAGUUGAUCUACUAUAGAUAAUGCUUUGGACAAAUGUUUUUGUUUAAGUGAAUGAUCUUAAAUACAUCUUAUCUGUUCUAUUGCACAGAAAUUCCAGCAGAUGUUUUUGUCACUUAAAGCUAAAAUUAACUUCCUGAGUUGUUUCUAAAAUUGACAUCUGGAAGGAAAUUUUUGCAUUCACAAACCUUUCCCUUAAUCACAGGGAGUAUGUCAAGUAUGUGUGUUGCAUGGAGAAAAGAACUGACUCCCAUAUCAAGUUUGGCUGAUACAGGUAAAAAAUAUGGACGAAUGGCUGAAACUGAAUGCCAACUUUCAAGUAAUUAAACAAAUUGAACGGAGGGACAGGUUAACUUUAAUGAAAAGGUAAGUUUUAAUAUGUAAGGAAAGCAAUCCCUGUGUAUACUUCAGCAAACUAGAGGCAUGUGUGUUUUACAUGCAGAAGGGCUUACUUAAAUACAAACACCUGCUCUGCUAACUGCCUUCAUUGAAGAAUACACAGAAAAAAUAAGUAAGCACUACAAAUGAAGAUGAGACUUGAAUACUUGGUAGACACUGUCCUCUCCUGGACAUUUGUAUCAAAGCAUGCACAGAAGUAUUUUAUACUUAAUAUUAUUCAAGAUGAUCUGUUUCACUAAAUAUUUUUUUAUCAGUGGAAAAUCAGAAUAGGGAGUGAGUGAUACCAUGUUAGUCAGUUAAAAUAAAUCUCCCUACCAACUCAUCCCCUGCAUGGGAGCUGAGUAAAACAAGUCAGUCUUAGGCUAUUAGCUACUUGCUAACAAAACGUAGUUUGGUACCUUGAGUUCAGGCAUAUGACUAGGUUUUUUAUUGGGUGGGGCUUGUAUUUUAAGGAGCAUUUUUUGGUUUUGUUCUUUCUGAAAACCGAAGCAUCAGCCCUGGUAAAGGUGUUUCAGUAGCAGGGUAAGUAUGGGAGGUAACACAGCAAGUAGGGCUACUGAAACUAACAACUUAGCCUGAAUACUUUUUUUUUUUUCUCUCCCCCCCCCCCCCUUGGCAAUGUUUCUGUUUAUCAAAAAAGUGGGGUGGAGGAGGCAGCUACAGCCUGUUCACACGCU